rnacentral:lncRNA from 1 species
ACUCUCAGAUCCAUGUUCUAUCUACUCAUUACAUCCGGAGACGGCGCGCCUCACGCGGGCGCGAUGGACACCUUGUCGACCUGCACGACGUACUCCAGGGUCGCCCCGGGAGGCACCUGCGCGCCGUGGUCGUCCCCGAAAUCGGCGCCGUCGUCGCCGAAGCCGAGACCCGGGGGAACCACGACGCGGCGCUUGCCGCCGCUCCUCAUGGAGCGCAGCACGUACUCGAUGCCCUCGCACAUGCCCCUGGUGUAGGGCCUGGAGCCCAUGACCAGCGCCAGCGGCCUCUUCCCGUCGCCGAACGUGUCCACGAACGGCGGCGCCUCCCCGCCGGCAACCCGCCCCUGCAGGUCGAUCACCACCAGGUCCCCCGGCCGCGGCACGUCGCCGCCGCCCACCCGCAUCUCGUAGUACCUGAACCAUUUAUUCGUUGCCGCUUGUCAGAGCCCCGGUGCUGCCGGAGAACGUGGUAGCAGCAAAUUAAGCUUGCCGCACGAUCGAUCGAUGGCUUACCUG